GUCAAAGGCCCAAAGGCAGUGUCUGAAAUUGAUGUGGAAGCUGCGACAGUGGCUGGGUUUUCAGGGUCAAGAGCUUGUUUAAGUAUUGAUGAUAGUGCCACAGGUGCUGCUCCCGUGAAGUCCACGUUCAACGUUAAAACUGCAAAUCCUCCACUUCCACUUUCCGAACAAGGGAACAUUUUUUUUUCUGGUGGGUUGCUAGGUUCUGAUGGAACAAGACGACAUUUAGGAAAAUGGUGCAAGCGAGGCAAAACGGUUGGAUCAACACCCACACAAGGUUCAACUAAAAUAGCGGCGAUUUAGUUGUCGUUGGUGCUGAUGGAAGAGGUGGUAGAUUUAAGGUUAUGCGACCUGCGGAUCAGUCUUCUCAGGUGAGUUCAAGAGUGGUUCUUAUCGCUAUAUUUAGAUGAUAAGGAGAAUUUGGUCAGUGUAAAGAGAUUAAAAUGUGGAGCUAAACAAACUAGUUUGCAGUCUCAAGGAUGUAUGCAAAUAUAGCACUUCUUCGGGAAGGGCUCGCCACUGAUUGAAAUUUAAAGGCACGUCCCAUGGUAACUCGAACACUCUAUUCAAUUUUUACGGCCAAUGAGAACAGCAGUUAUGUUGCAACUUUGUUAGCCGGCAUUAAAAUUAUGGAGUUCGUCACCCAGACAUUUUAGGGUUAACCUGCCAUAUGGAUCUGGAAUCUAA